rnacentral:rRNA from 1 species
AUGGAGACAUGGCAAAUCUUCUUCGGCGUUAUCCUCUUCGCCCUCCCGCUGACCCUCCUCCUUUUACGCACCGGUAAGACCGGCGGCGGCGCCCGGCGGCCCAUCCCGCCUGGCCCGCCGUCCUUUCCGGUGCUGGGCAGUAUGGUGUGGCUCACGAACUCGCCCGCAGACGGGGAACUCCUCCUCCGGCGUCUGUUUGCGCGGUAUGGUCCCAUCGUGUCGCUGCGCGUGGGCUCCCGGCUCUCCAUCUUCGUCGCCGACCGCCGCCUCGCGCACGCGGCACUCGUCGAGCGCGGUGCCGCUCUGGCCGACCGCCCGACCCUCGCGUCCGUCAGGAUCAUGGGCGAGAAUGACAACACCAUCACGCGCGCCAGCUACGGGCCCGUGUGGCGCCUCCUCCGCCGCAACCUCGUCUCCGAGACGCUGCACCCGUCCCGCGUCCGACUCUUCGCGCCCGCGCGCUCCUGGGUACGCCGCGUGCUCGUCGACAAGCUGCGGGACGAGUCGUCCUCCGGCGGGGCGGCCGUUGUGGAGACGUUCCAGUACGCCAUGUUCUGCCUCCUCGUGCUCAUGUCCUUCGGCGAGCGGCUCGACGAGCCCGCGGUGCGCGCGAUCGCCGCCGCGCAGCGCGACCAGCUGCUCUACAUCACCAAGAAAAUGGCUGUCUUCGCCUUCUUCCCGUCGCUCACAAAGCACGUCUUUCGUGACCGCCUCCAGACCGCGCACGCCAUGCGGCGGCGGCAGAAGGAGCAGGAGGUCGCCGGCGACCUCCUCGUGGGCAGAGAAUUAUAUAUCCACGUACAGCUACGAAAGGGUUUACGUAAUCUUUCUAAAUAUACUUCUCUGCCCCUCCUGAUUUUCAGGUGGGUGGGGCCCCUUCCUCCCCUUCCCCAAUGA